rnacentral:rRNA from 1 species
AAACAUGUCUUUUUGAUUAUAAUAUAAAGUCCAAUCUGCUCCAUGAUAUUUUAAAUAGCUGCAGUAUAUUAACUGUACAAAGGUAGCAUAAUCAAUAGUUUUUUAAUUAAAAGCUGGAAUGAAUGAUUUGAUGAAAUAAUUAUUGUCUCAAUUUUAAUAAAAUUAAAAAUUUUUUUUUAGUAAAAAUACUAAAAUAAUUUUAAAAGACGAGAAGACCCUAUAGAUUUUUAUAAUUUUUUUUUAUUAAAUUGAUAUAUUUAAAUUUAAUUAUUAAAUUAUUUGAUUGGGGAAAUUUUUAAAUUUAUUAAAUUUUAAUUUUUUAAAAACAAUAAUUAUUGAAUAUUUGAUUUUAAUUUUUAGGUUAAAAGAAAAAAUACCUUAGGGAUAACAGCGUAAUUUUUUUAGAGAGUUCUUAUUAAUAAAAAAGUUUGCGACCUCGAUGUUGAAUUAAGAUAAAAUUUUACUGAAGAAAUUAAAAAUUUUUGGUCUGUUCGACCAUUAAAAUCUUACGUGAUCU